UAGAGAAACGGCCACGUUUUUUUCUGCCACGCUUCAAAAGUGUGGCCAUAGAGAGAAAGAGGGACAUUUUAAAAGCGUGGCGACAGGGUUUCAUUACGGCCACGCUUACAAAACGUGGCCAUAUCCUGGUACUCUUUUGGCAUGCUUUAAAAGCGUAGCCAAAAGGUUUUUAAAGGAAAACCCUAAUAACCCGGCCCCAACCCAGUAACUCCUGAAUCCUCCUAAUCACCCUCAAACUUGGCCAAAAGCUUCGAUCGGGACUCUCCCACUCUCAACUCUCACCGUCACUCUCAUCAAUGGCAACCCUGGAAGAGCUCAGAUCUCCGCCGUCACCAGCACCGCCCUCGCUGCGCCGUUAGCCUCCCCUCCGCCUUGUCUCUUGUCGCCUCUGCCCUAGCAUCCAACAGCGUCAGCGUCAUUAGCCUCUCACUAUCUCCUCGUCGUCUCCUUGUCAUUUACGUGCCAGCGUCGUUGUUUCGCCGCUCUCCUGCCAUCUUCCUGCUCUGGCCACCAUUGCCUUCCUUGUGGUUCGUGUUUGGACAGAAUGAAAACGGUAAUGGAAGAAAGCGAAGAGAAGGACGGUGCUUCAGUAUGUGUGUGGCGGUAGCUCCUCACUCUUCAACCUUGUUUCUCUUUUUAAUUUCUCUCAGGGUUUUCAGAAACGAUUUCCGAUCUGAAUGUUUUCCAAUAUUAAUAUUAAAAAAGGACGAUUUUGUGUGCUCUCUCAGCAAUGGUAGCUGCAAAUUGUUUGAGCUGUAUGGUAAUGAAACGAAAAUGAAGCUGUUGGCCAAAGAACUGGCCCCUCUGCAGAAUAUCGGUUCUCAAAACUGCAUUACUUUUAGUGUUGAUGGAUCUAAAUUUUCCACCGGUGGUUCACUUCUUCUUCUUCUUCUUCGGUGGCUGCUUCUUCCACAGAAGAGAAAAUGGACCGUCUUCCGGUAGAGUUGAACGUCACCGAAACACAAGAACCCAAUUCCAGAGUUAGACUUCAAGUGGAGGUGCCACCAGUUGUCUGUGAGGAUUGUUACGAAAGGGUCAUAUCUGAGUUUACAAAACAAGCAAAGGUCCCCGGAUUCUGCCCCGGAAAGCCGGUUCCAGAAAGUAUUCUUGUCGGUUAUGUCGGGCGCAAAAAUUUUCAGAAGGCCAUAAUUGAAUCUAUAUUGAGAACACUUUUUUAUUCACAUCAAAGUAUACCUAUCACCACUGUUACUCGCUUUUGUGCCUCAAGAGCUUCACUUGAGUCCUUAAGCUUUGGUAACACUAAUGCUAAUCAAAAUCACAGAAUAAACAAAUUUGAGACAGAGUUGAGGGAAAAAGAGAUGAUGCUCUUGACCUACUUAAUGCAAAUUAUGAAGUGGUCAAAGAUCGGAUGAAUGCCGGCUCAAAAGGCAUUCAAGAAGCUACAAUUCUGGAUGUCUUAGCGCUGGGUUAUGUGGCUAUUGGACACCUAAAAACUGUUGCUUCUCUGUUGAAUGUGUGCCUUGUAUUAACUCCAUCUUGUGAAGGCAGAGAAAGCUAGAAGAUACAUUCCAAGAGAAUUCAAAUUGGCUGAAGCUUUUGGGUAGGUCCAAUAUUGUAAUUUCUCUCUUUAGAUUAUAAAUGCAGCAAUUCUUUUAUGGGUUUGAGUCUUUAGGCAAUUUAUAAAUAUUGAUUCCAAGAAAUGUCGUCAGUUUAGAAGACUAACUGUUGCUGAUGUGAACUCAGGGAUAUUUUUGUUUGGUUAAUUUUCAAGACUGGUAAAAUCAUUCUAAAAUCUUUUGAAUUUUGAUAGGACUUGUAAAUUAUGUUAAACUUUGAAAUUAAACAGAGGCUGCAUUAAUUAUUACUUGAUACAGAAACACUUUGGGUGGCUUCUUUCUAGCUAGCUAUUAGGACAGUCCCGCCGGUGUCUUUGACGAGGCUCAACCAGUGAAUGUUCCAACUAGUUUUAAGCAGAGGGCAAUGCUGGUGGAUGAGAUUUGGCAUGCUGCAGGUGACAAUGCUUCUGAUAUUGAUUGGUAUGCCAAGCGCACUGUCCUGGCAGGAAUAUACUCGACAACCGAGAUUUAUAUGCUGACAGAUACAUCUCCUGCUCCACCAAACAUUGCUGGGAAUCAUUCUGAUAGGGGGAUAUUGAGCUCGGUUAUGUACUUGUUGGGCACAAGGUUGUAAGAAAAAUAUAAAAUACAGAAAAUGAGGGACCCUGACGUGAUCUUGAGACCCCAGACCUGCUAUUAAUUUUCCAUUGCUUUUGUAAUUAUACAUGCGUUUUGCUUAGUUAGUGAAUUUCGGCUGGAUAGGAGGUUGAAGGGUUUUUUGUUACUGAAAAAACCUGGAAAGUUUUGUAUAAGGAUUAGUGUAUAAAACAAUUAUACCAAAAAUUGUCACUAAUUACUGUUUAAUUUAUCUUAUAAUAAAAAUUGCAUACUAUAUU